rnacentral:rRNA from 1 species
UACGGGGGGAGCAAGCGUUGUUCGGAUUUACUGGGCGUAAAGGGCGCGUAGGCGGUCAGCACAAGUCAGUUGUGAAAUCUCCGGGCUUAACUCGGAAAGGUCAACUGAUACUGUGCGACUAGAGUGCAGAAGGGGCAACUGGAAUUCUCGGUGUAGCGGUGAAAUGCGCAGAUAUCGGGAGGAACACCAAUUGCGAAGGCAGCUCGCUGGGACGUUACUGACGCUGAGACGCGAAAGCGUGGGGAGCAAACAGG